GUUGAAUUGGCAGAUAAAUGUGUUAAAUUUAGAAUUUAAUUAUAUGUAUAUAUACAUAUUUAAUA
rnacentral:tRNA from 1 species